rnacentral:snRNA from 1 species
CAUCUCUGGUUUCCCUUCAUAACGUACAAAUCUUUCGCCUUUUACUAAAGAUUUCCGUGGAGGGGAACACUCAAAUGAGUUUUCGCCGAAUUUCUUACGGCCACCACAAUGGUGGCCU